rnacentral:rRNA from 1 species
GAUGAACGCUGGCGGCGUGCCUAAUACAUGCAAGUCGAGCGAACGGACGAGAAGCUUGCUUCUCUGAUGUUAGCGGCGGACGGGUGAGUAACACGUGGAUAACCUACCUAUAAGACUGGGAUAACUUCGGGAAACCGGAGCUAAUACCGGAUAAUAUUUUGAACCGCAUGGUUCAAUAGUGAAAGACGGUCUUGCUGUCACUACUAGAUGGAUCCGCGCUGCAUUAGCUAGUUGGUAAGGUAACGGCUUACCACGGCAACGAUGCAUAGCCGACCGGAGAGGGGGAUCGGCGGCACGGGAGCGUGGACGCGGUCCAGAGUCCUGCGAGAGGCAGCAGUAGGGAAUCUGCCGCAGUGGGCGAGAGCCUGACGGAGCAAGGCCGCGUGAGUUAUGAAGGUCUCCGGAGCGUAAAACUCUGUUAUUAGUGAAGAACAGAUGUGUAAGUAACUGUGCACAGCGUGACGGUACCUAGUCAGAAAGCCACGGCUAACUACGUG